CCCUUCAAAUAAUUACUGAAUUUUUCAACUUUUACUUUCUUAAAUUGAUCAUCUCUGAGACUUGAAAACAAUUCAAUUUUGUACAGGGAAAAAAUCCCCGCUGCCUGCCAAGCCCCGUAAUAAUUCCUUACUAAUUUCCCUUCCGUUUCGCCAGUCAUUCAGUCAUCGUUAAGCCUCGAAUGCUGCCUCCAGUAAAGCAGCCGACAGUGGAGAGGCGUAACGCCCAGCCCCGCCUCUGAGAUGUUGCAGAGGCGCCAACGGCAAUGCAGCAAUGCAACAGCAGCAGCAGCAGCAGCAGCAGCAGGAAGGGGGAGGGAGACCCCAAAAGUUACGACAACAGUCGCAGUCGCCUCGCAAACGUGGGAGCUUUUUAUGAGUUUCUACCCGAAACGGACCCACGGCAGCGGCGACAGUGGUGGCAGCGUCGGUUUUGUGCCUCUUGCCACAAAACGUGGGCAGCCGGGUAGGUGAUGUUGGGGCAGCUGUAGAUGUAGCCAGCGGCAGCUGUUGCCGCCAAUUGAUUGAAAUGCCGACCGUUCAUUCGACUGGGUCCCCGGUCAUCUAUCUGUCUGUCUCUUUCCCACCUCUCCUGCCAUCUCUUUUGCGCUUCAAGUAUUUCGCUUUUUAUUGUUGUUGCUGUUGUUGUUUUUGGGUGGGUAUCUUCAAGGGUGCUCGGAAAAUACUUUUCUUUAUUCCUUUUUUGUUUUGUUUUGUUUUGUUUUUUUUUUUUGCUGUGCGGUUUGGG
rnacentral:lncRNA from 1 species